GAAAAACAAAGUUGCGACACUCCCAUAGACCGCCAUAGGAACUUUGGAAUGCGGAAGUAACGCGUGUCGUGGAGCGGCCAAUAGUUCCAAACACUGAUAGUUCCAGCAUUGAACCCCAUUCAUUUUCAGUGCUUCUGAAGUACGCUCGCUGUUCUCUCCAACAGCAACAGGCUUUUCUUCAAGACCCGGUCUCCUCUGGGGCCUUUGACACACUCAGACAGAAGAUUCAAGGAAAACUUACCUACCCUCUCCUUAGAUAUAAUAUAUAAUUAAAUGUUUUGUUGAAUGCAAUUGGUUGCCUUGUAUAUUUUUUACUGUUGACCAAACUUCUUUCUCGACUUAAACUGAGCAGCUUUAAUUGAUAUUUGCUUGUUGUGCAGGUUUAUGUGAAUGUAUUUUAACAUAACAUAAGGAUGUUAUUAAUUAUGACCAUAGAAGCAUGAGAAAAAUAUAUACAGUAAAUACUGGAAAUGUAUUAUACCUUAUGGGAGCAGUCCCCCUUCCCUCCAAAAUUCAAAACACAAAAAAAUAAAUUUAAUUCAAAUGGCUUUAUUGACAUAAAAGUUUCAAGAACAAUGUGUAUAUACACUACCAGUCAAAAGUUUUGGAUCGGUAAGAUUUUUAAUGUUUUUAAAAGAAGUCUCUUCUGCUCACCAAAGUUGCAUUUAUUUGAUUAAAAAUACAAGAAAAAAACA